CAGAUUAUAGUUUAACAUAAAACAUUAACUUUGGGUGUUAAAAUUCUAUAUCUGA
rnacentral:tRNA from 1 species